rnacentral:rRNA from 1 species
CCCGCACAAGCGGUGGAGCAUGUGGUUUAAUUCGACGCAACGCGAAGAACCUUACCAGGGCUUGACAUCCCCUGACCGCGUAUGAAAGUACGUUUUCACCCUCGGGUGACAGGGAGACAGGUGGUGCAUGGUUGUCGUCAGCUCGUGUCGUGAGAUGUUGGGUUAAGUCCCGCAACGAGCGCAACCCCUACGUUUAGUUGCUAACGCGUGAAGGCGAGCACUCUAGACGAACUGCCGUUGACAAAACGGAGGAAGGUGGGAUGACGUCAAAUCAUCAUGCCCCUUAUGUUCUGGGCUACACACGUGCUACAAUGGCCGGUACAGACGGACGCAAAGCCGCGAGGUGGAGCAAAUCCUAAAAAGCCGGUCUCAGUUCGGAUUGCAGGCUGCAAUUCGCCUGCAUGAAGUCGGAAUCGCUAGUAAUCGCAGGUCAGCACGCUGCGGUGAAUACGUUCCCGGGCCUU